rnacentral:rRNA from 1 species
AAAGUAGCUUGCUACUUUACCUAGCGGCGGACGGGUGAGUAAUGCUUAGGAAUCUGCCUAUUAGUGGGGGACAACAUCUCGAAAGGGAUGCUAAUACCGCAUACGUCCUACGGGAGAAAGCAGGGGACCUUCGGGCCUUGCGCUAAUAGAUGAGCCUAAGUCGGAUUAGCUAGUUGGUGGGGUAAAGGCCUACCAAGGCGACGAUCUGUAGCGGGUCUGAGAGGAUGAUCCGCCACACUGGGACUGAGACACGGCCCAGACUCCUACGGGAGGCAGCAGUGGGGAAUAUUGGACAAUGGGGGGAACCCUGAUCCAGCCAUGCCGCGUGUGUGAAGAAGGCCUUUUGGUUGUAAAGCACUUUAAGCGAGGAGGAGGCUACCGAGAUUAAUACUCUUGGAUAGUGGACGUUACUCGCAGAAUAAGCACCGGCUAACUCUGUGCCAGCAGCCGCGGUAAUACAGAGGGUGCAAGCGUUAAUCGGAUUUACUGGGCGUAAAGCGCGCGUAGGUGGCCAAUUAAGUCAAAUGUGAAAUCCCCGAGCUUAACUUGGGAAUUGCAUUCGAUACUGGUUGGCUAGAGUAUGGGAGAGGAUGGUAGAAUUCCAGGUGUAGCGGUGAAAUGCGUAGAGAUCUGGAGGAAUACCGAUGGCGAAGGCAGCCAUCUGGCCUAAUACUGACACUGAGGUGCGAAAGCAUGGGGAGCAAACAGGAUUAGAUACCCUGGUAGUCCAUGCCGUAAACGAUGUCUACUAGCCGUUGGGGCCUUUGAGGCUUUAGUGGCGCAGCUAACGCGAUAAGUAGACCGCCUGGGGAGUACGGUCGCAAGACUAAAACUCAAAUGAAUUGACGGGGGCCCGCACAAGCGGG